AAUAAGUGCAGCCGUGGAUAUCUGUGCCCAACGUUUGACCGUCCAUCUUAUUUAAAAAAUUUGAAAAUAUUUAGUCACACAUAAAGUACUAUUCAUGUUUUAUCAUCUAAUAGCAAUAAAAAUACUAAUCAUAAAAUUUUUUCAAAUAAGACGAACAGUCAAAUAUUGAACAUGAAUAGUACAAAACUGUACUUAUU
rnacentral:pre_miRNA from 1 species